rnacentral:sRNA from 1 species
AGCUUAUAUUGAAACAAACUCAUCAAUCAAAAAGUUCGUUAUAAUUACAUGUAUGAAGAUGAUUGCAAAAUGAUGAAAUAAAAAAAACUUGAAUGUUAAACAUAUUUUUUUUUUAAAUUUGCGUAUUAAGUAUUGUAAAUUCGGGAAAUGAAUAGUGUUUAUUUGAUGGUUGUAAACGAUUUAUUUGCCUUAUAUAAGUUUUGUAACGAUGAAUAAUGUAAAAAUGAUGCGAUUUUACUGAUUGAGUAAAUAUCAGUAAUGCUUGAGCGUUGUCAAUUUAUAAUUUUCGUAGUCAUUCAUUUUUAAAAUAAACUGAUGCUUCAUUAGAAGAUACCAUUUUUAAGCUUACAGUUUUAAUAAAUAAUCUACUUGAUUGUUGUUUUCAUGUUCCGUAUAUCAUGAAUAAUUUAACAAAAUCUACUUUGACUGAAAUCUAUUUGUGUUUGUUUUGAAAAUUCUAUUAUCAAUUAGGUAUAACACAACAAUAAACACUGUUUCAUUAUCAUAAAUGUUUUCAAAUAUUCUGUAAUUUCAUGAAAUCAAUGCUUAUUACAUAAAAAUUGUUUAGAACAUG